AACGAACGCUGGCGGCAGGCUUAACACAUGCAAGUCGAACGCCCCGCAAGGGGAGUGGCAGACGGGUGAGUAACGCGUGGGAACAUACCCUUUCCUGCGGAAUAGCUCCGGGAAACUGGAAUUAAUGCCGCAUACGCCCUACGGGGGAAAGAUUUAUCGGGGAAGGAUUGGCCCGCGUUGGAUUAGCUAGUUGGUGGGGUAAAGGCCUACCAAGGCGACGAUCCAUAGCUGGUCUGAGAGGAUGAUCAGCCACAUUGGGACUGAGACACGGCCCAAACUCCUACGGGAGGCAGCAGUGGGGAAUAUUGGACAAUGGGCGCAAGCCUGAUCCAGCCAUGCCGCGUGAGUGAUGAAGGCCUUAGGGUUGUAAAGCUCUUUCACCGAUGAAGAUAAUGACGGUAGUCGGAGAAGAAGCCCCGGCUAACUUCGUG
rnacentral:rRNA from 1 species